rnacentral:rRNA from 1 species
GAUGAACGCUGGCGGCGUGCCUAAUACAUGCCAGUCGAGCGAACGGACGAGAAGCUUGCUUCUCUGAUGUUAGCGGCGGACGGGUGAGUAACACGUGGAUAACCUACCUAUAAGACUGGGAUAACUUCGGGAAACCGGAGCUAAUACCGGAUAAUAUUUUGAACCGCAUGGUUCAAAAGUGAAAGACGGUCUUGCUGUCACUUAUAGAUGGAUCCGCGCUGCAUUAGCUAGUUGGUAAGGUAACGGCUUACCAAGGCAACGAUGCAUAGCCGACCUGAGAGGGUGAUCGGCCACACUGGAACUGAGACACGGUCCAGACUCCUACGGGAGGCAGCAGUAGGGAAUCUUCCGCAAUGGGCGAAAGCCUGACGGAGCAACGCCGCGUGAGUGAUGAAGGUCUUCGGAUCGUAAAACUCUGUUAUUAGGGAAGAACAUAUGUGUAAGUAACUGUGCACAUCUUGACGGUACCUAAUCAGAAAGCCACGGCUAACUACGUA